ensembl:lncRNA
CAAGUCUGUCUUAUAGAUGUUUAUUCAUUUUUAGCCUCAAUGGGGGGAAAUGUCACGUGACAAAUAUUCAGAUGAAAGAAGCUCAAGGUUAUUACAUUUGAAAAGGUAAAUGUUGCAACCCUGGGCAAUGCAAGUAAGUUUACUUAUUGUAUAAGGUUCAUUUCUCUAAGCUAGUCCAUUUGUUAGCUGAAAAGUGAGAUUGUUCCAACGCUUUCAGGCUUUUCUUGGAGUUCCUGAUAGUAGCUUCCACUUCACACGAGGCACUGGAAAAGAGGAGGCAGUUGUGGGCUGACCAACUUCCAGUUUGACUUGAUUUUAUUUCCUAGUUUGCUGUGACUUUAUUCUUUCACUACAUUUUCUAAUGGACUAAUAUUGUGCUUGUUUUCAAACGAGUUAAGCCUUUCAACUCUAUUUUUUUUCCCUCAAUAAUUACCUCAGCUUAAAGUCUCAAUCGACUGUAGCUUUACCUGGGAGGUGUAGCGUGGAAUUUUCUGUUCUGUUUUUUUCUCUUCGUGGUCAUCUAUGGCUUUAAAACUCUAAGCAGAGCUAAUAAUGCAACGUGUAUUUUAAUUAGUUUGAUCUGCACCUGGAAAGGAAAGAGCAUGAGUUAUCUCAUAAUGAGCUCUCAAACUUGCUAGUGUUUUGGGUUUUUUUUUGAGUGAUGUAGCAGUUUUGCACAAUAAGUCCGAGAUUUAGAGAAACAGGUUGUUCACCUCAUGCCCAUCAUUGCCUUUCCUCUGUCUGUUGAUAAAAUGAGCCUAAGCAUGAUUCUCUAGGGUGCAGAAAAAGAUGAGUAGUUUGGCUCUGUAGGCUGUUUUCUGUGCAACUUUGAUAGCUUUGGUUCACACCAGGAACCCAAGGACAGGAAGCUGCUGAUGCAGAAGUGCUUCACUUCUCAAAUCUGCAGAGGAUUUGGACUGUGAUUGAAAAGGAUUAUUUUUCAGGUGGCAGGUAAAUGUCUUUCUCUGCUAAAUUCUGACUCUACUUCUUGCACAACUUGAGGUAUUUUGUUUUUUUUUUUUCCCAAACUAAGCUGUAGUAUAAUGAAGCCAAAAAAAUCAUAUUAUGGUAAAUCAGUUAGUUAUUAAAGCAGAACUUGGGUGACUUAGGUUAUACAAACAUCUCAGGACAGCCUUGCUCAGUUGUUUGGUCCUUUUACAAGAGACAAAAAAUUAAGUGACAUCCGGGAGAAUGCUGCAGGUAAACACAGCUGGGGAGAACAUCUUUUUUGUUGUUAACUUUAUGAGGUUAUUGUUCAUUUGCUAGUCAGGAAAUAGGUCACAGGCAGGGUUGUAAUCAGAUGGGGACUUUGAAUAACUCCUUAGAGGGGGAAAAAAAACCCAUUAUUUUGCUGUUCCUCCUCUGACACUGCAGGUCAGUGACCAGUGAUGCAAAUGGGUCUUCUCUUGCAAGGACAAAGAGAGGAAGCACUUGCAUGUGCAUGCAGGAGAAACUUACGUAAUCUUGCAGUUUUAAGUAGAAAAACUAGCUAAAUGGGAGUCUUCUUUCAAACACUACUUUGUCUUUGGUUUUGAGCUAAUGUAGUGCUUCAGUCAGUAUAAAUCCUUCAAUUGUAGUGCUGUCAUUUUCUGAACAGUUCUUAGGUGGCAAUACUAGACAGCAUAGUAAAUUGAGAUUAAAAAGGAAGAGUAGGAAUGACAUAUUUGAUAGGCAGUUAUCACUUCAAAGCAGUUAAAUAUUUCCUAAUCUUGGUUCUGAAGCUGAAGUUACUGGCCUCUCAGCUUCAUGCUGCAACUCCUUUCAGUUUUAUAUGAAGAAUGUAUCUUGUUCAAUACAGCAGCAUAGAUUAUUUGAUGUGUUAGUAGUUGAAAACUGGAUAUAUUGCUGAGUCAGACCUAGAGCUAGUCACAUUACAAGCAUAAAGGAGUUCCUAAAGGUGUUCACUUGUGUAUGCUUUCUGAGUUGACUGAAGCCAGAGCCUCAGCCAGGCAGACUGGAGGAAUGUGCGCUAAUUCAGAACGAAACAAAAACACACCUGCAGUGGAGUGGUGUAGGAGGAGCUCAUCUGUUUGUGGCACUGAAGGCUCGAAUCUUAUUCCACCAGAGUCAUUGAAAUAGGUUUAGUUAUGGAAAACUGUCCAUUUGGAAUGCUCCCCACCCCAAGGUGUUCAGUACUGCUGGUAGUGUCAUCUGUAAAGAAUUACUGAAUUAAAGAAAUUAAAGGAACAGUCAAGUGGCAGACAACUAUUCUACACAGAAUGUCAUUUUAGUGAGCACGCCCUUUGCCUUCUUUAGACAGGUCUCUGGAUAUGAACUUCAUGUUUUGCAGUCUCUUCUCUGUAGGUACCUUUUCAGUUUUCCUGAAGAACUUGUUUUGCUGUACCAAACUAUGGGGAUUUUGUAAGAGACCCCUUCAAUUUUCAAGUAGUGAGUUUGAACACCCGACUUAGCUUUGCAUGUGCUAUCAAACACUUCUGGGGUUGAUAGACAACUUGAUUCAUGCCAGCUUGAGACUAAAAUAAGAUAUGCAGUAUAAUUCCCUAUAGCUUGAAAUGUAAGCCAAACACUGACUUCCUAUCAUUAGACCUAUAGUGGCUCCUACAGGUUCAGUAGUAGCCUCUUUUCUAGAUGAUUUUUCUAGUAUAAAGACACACAGUGUAGUCAGGGGUUUUAAUAUAGCACUGCCAACUCUUUACCUCAGUACACACUUCGUUAAUUCUGCAACACAGGAAGCAGUGAGUAGGGUGCUUCAGCAGCAUCCUUAAAACGUAUCUGUGCCUACUUUAGUAAAUGAUGCACAUGGAGCAUCAGUUAUGGAACAGAAAUCUCAGGCUGGCACUGUCUGGGCCGCACUUGGGCUGAGUUAGUCCCGACUCCGUGCAUUUCUAGACGAGAACUGUCUAGCCUACUGAGGAAGUAAUUGGCAAGGCAAUACAAAACCUUGUGCUUUUUACUAUGACUGACUUUGUAAUUAGCUGGAGUGAUCUCUGCUUUGUGCUGUGAAGUGGGCACUUCUUUGUUUUGACACUAAUUUAUUUACAUGGAUGGAAAUGAGUAAACCCAGGCUACUUGGAUCUGAAACUGCUGUCUUCCUAACUAGGUGAUGCUCUUUGCUCAUCUUGGUGGUUGGGCAGUUUAGCUUGGUUCUUUCGAUUUUUGUCUUUCUAACUGCAUUUGGAAAGCAGUGUUGAAGUGUCUGUGUUGACAUGCUUGUCUUCUGAUGGGGUGGGGAGUAUGGAGGUAUAGAUUGUCAGUGCUGGUGCUUCUGUGCCUGGCUUGGCAAACUGUAUGACAACCUAGCUCUUGGCUUAUGUCCAAAGGUCAUAUCUUGUGUCUGAGAUGAAAACGAUCAUGGUCAGAGAGAAAAAGGGCAGCACUGACUUCCAAGGUAGGCGUUCUGGUAAAAAGCCAAAGUAUGUUGGAAGGGAGCAGGAGAGGAGAGCUAUUUCCUACACAGAUCCCAAAAGCUGAUGGUGCUUGAGGACUGAGUGUAUUGAAAAGAAAUGCCAUCUGUAUUGACCUCAAAAGCUUUGAGUGACUCCAGAGAGCUAUUGGCUGUGAAUUAAGGGCAGCAGGCUGGUGAGGCUGGCCCUGCUGCUGCUGCAUGGCCCUCCAUUGUAAAUCUCUUCAUCUGUUCCUAACUGGGUGCUAAAACUCAAUUCCUGAUAAAAUAUGAUCGCAGAUCUCUGGGCAGAGAAUGCAUCUCACUCUUUUCUAACAUCUUCUUAACCUUUCUUCAAGAUACUGGAGCAGGAGAAGUAUUUCAGGGGAACGGCUAGAUAAGAUACUGUUUCCAUGAUUGGAGCAAAAUCUACAAUUGAUGGCAAGCCAAAUUUUUGUACGAGGAGGUCCUAAGGAAGAGAUUCUUAUGAGGGAAGGAACAGAUUUUUGAACAGUACUGCUUCUCUGCUCGUGCUUCUUGUCAGCCUUUUGUGCAGAGCUGGUGUGCAGGUGGGUAAGCACAGCAGCUGGGGGAAGACAGCAGGGAGGGGGGGGGGGAUGUGGAAGAAGAAUGAUUCUUGGUGGUUCACAAGAUUUGGAAAGCGUGCUCAAUGGAUGAGGUUUGAAAACAUGUUUGAACUCCCGCUCACACUGAAGCCAUUAACAGUCUUUAGGAUUAUGGGUGUUUUUCUGGUGUACAGGUUAUGUUAUCUGGGAUGUGAAAUGAGCUUGAAUUGAUGGUAAAUGUUGAGCAGUAUUUUUGGAGAUGCUACUUAACAAAAAUGCUAGUAUUUAUUGCUCUUGUGAUGAGUUGUCUUGUUCAUGGAACCAAUGUGUAUGAAAGCAAACUGACAAGCACCAAGUUAUCUUGUGACACAAUCACGUAGCUAGGAAGCCAAUUAACAUUACCUUUUAUUCUGCAAUUUACUUGCUCUGUGGUGCCUAUGCAUUGUAACACACAUACUAUGCAAUAUCAUUCUUUUUCUAAACCAGUUCACUACAUUGGGCAAGAAGGGCCUGAGUUUAGCCUUAAUUUUCUAACGAUUCACAGGAAAGUACUUUAGAAACAGUGACAAACAAAAAGAGGUUUAAAAAAUAAACCACAUAAAAUAAAAGCACAGUUCCAGACUGCUCACAUAAGUGUCUUUCUAGCACCAAAACAGCAUCCACAAUAGAGACAGCUAUUUGCUGUGAUAGUUUCAACUUACGAAAACUGUGUACUAGAUAAAAUUAUAUUGUGAUGUGUAAAAAGUGUAUUUUAUAGCUUUGGUGACUUAGUUUACUGUUUUGUAUAUAUGAAUUUUAUAAAUCUAUUAAAACUUGACUUGU